AGUGAACGCUGGCGGUAGGCCUAACACAUGCAAGUCGAACGGCAGCACAGAGGAGCUUGCUCCUUGGGUGGCGAGUGGCGGACGGGUGAGGAAUACAUCGGAAUCUACUCUGUCGUGGGGGAUAACGUAGGGAAACUUACGCUAAUACCGCAUACGACCUACGGGUGUAAGCAGGGGACCUUCGGGCCUUGCGCGAUUGAAUGAGCCGAUGUCGGAUUAGCUAGUUGGCGGGGUAAAGGCCCACCAAGGCGACGAUCCGUAGCUGGUCUGGGAGGAUGAUCAGCCACACUGGAACUGAGACACGGUCCAGAGUCCUACGGGAGGCAGCAGUGGGGAAUAUUGGACAAUGGGCGCAAGCCUGAUCCAGCCAUACCGCGUGGGUGAAGAAGGCCUUCGGGUUGUAAAGCCCUUUUGUUGGGAAAGAAAUCCAGCUGGCUAAUACCCGGUUGGGAUGACGGUACCCAAAGAAUAAGCACCGGCUAACUUCGUGCCAGCAGCCGCCGCCG
rnacentral:rRNA from 1 species